rnacentral:lncRNA from 1 species
GGGUGACCCAUCAUCUACCUCACUCAAACUUUUUCUUUUUACCCAAACCCUUUCGUAGAGAGAGAGUGAAGAUUGUAAAAGAAAAAUCCUCCAUUUUGGACAAAAAUCUUCAAGCCAUGGGUUGAAUCUCUAGUUUUUCCUCCGAUUAACAGGUAUUACAUGAGCUUCUAUCAUUUUCAAACAUCCAAAUCAGUUUUUAAUUAGUAAUGAAACUACAAAAUCUCUCUCUAAAAAUAUACAUAUAUACCUAUGUGUAUAUAUGCCUUUUUAACUUCAUAUCUUUCUUGUUCUAGCUACUGGAGUAUUAUGAAAUAGUUUUUGGAGUAGAGAUCAAGGAGAUACAUACUAACCCCAAUUUCGAAAAAACCCUAGCUUGAUUAAGGUAAGGAAUUUUGUUUUGUUUCACCAAAUUCAGGUUAUAUGUAUUGUUUGUAUAUAUAUAUGAGUAUAUUUGUGUUUUCAUUUGUUGGACUGCUAGAUAAAUUUGGGAAAAUAGAAUUUCCACAGUCUUUUUCGACAGGCCCUUGUUGUUCAAAUGUCUUGAAAAUUUUAUGGUGUAUAUAUUGGAGUGUUUUGAACUUACACACAAAUUUUUGAGUCUUUUGGAUAAUGUUUACUGCUCUUUUAAAAUCAAAAACUUUUACUGGCAAUCUCUGUCAAAAUGUUCUGUAUGACAGAGACUUGAGCCAUCCAUUUCAGUAGUUUCCUAUUGACAAAUACCUCCGAAUUUUUUUUUGUGUGAAGUUGAAAGUGUUAAGGACCCACUUGAAAAUUUUGAGAUCAUUUAAGAAACAUUUCCUAUAUUUCAAAAAUUCAAACAUUUCGUUGCCAGAAACUGCCAGAAUCUGGUAGGCAGUAGGAAAAUGGCCAUAUCUCUUAAACCACUUGGAGUUUUUCAACGUACUUUUUUUUAAAGUAAACUAGACUCAUAGAGGUUUCUGUGCAUAUAAAAAUAGAAUCUUGAAGAGCUCUGGAUCAAAACAGUUUAUUAUUGAAAGUUGAUGCAGUGCAGAAAGGUUGAAAUAUGGUGUUCAUUAAAAUGAUUUGUAAUAUGUAAUUAUGAGUUAUCUCAAGUUUAUAUGUUUUAAUUAGGAAUUUUUGUUAAAGAGAUGCCUAGGUAAUAUCUUGAAUCAUAUGCUUUUAUGUGAGAAGAGUUCGGGCUUCUGCCUCCCGGACAUUUUUGAAUGAAUUGUUUGGGGAAAAGCACGCUUCUGUAUUAUGGACCUCUAUAUAUGUGGUGUUUUCUAUUUUGUUAGCUAUGGAAGACCAUCGUUUAUAGACUCAAGCUUUUUGUUCUUGUGAGAACUCGGUGAGAGUUAGAAUUUAGUCUAGUAUGGAAAGUUGGAUGCAAACCCUAAGGAUAGUAAGAGAUGUUUUGUUUAUGCAACUAGGUCUUAUGAACUUUGCGACUCAUUUGUUAACCCUAUAUAAUGAAGGUCCGACGAAUCUUUGACGACACCAUUGUGAGGAAGAGGAAGUAUACUAGUGAUUGAGUAAGCAUAUCACAGGUGGGCAUUUAUUUACUUUGAUAAUAGUGAAAAUCAUAUUCUGUUUCGAUAAAGCAUUUCAGUAAAGUGACGAUGCAAACAUAUCAUGCCAAAAUACUUUAUGAUUUUGAGUAUGGUACCGAGCUAUUAAGGGCUGAUCACCCUGUAUAAAUCGAUAUCGGUCUCUAUGCUAGACAAUUAUGCUAGUAAGGGACGGGCGCUCAAGGUUGUUUGACUGGGAGCCGUCCUUCGGGUCGGCCGGUCGUGGUGACAGUGGGAGGAGGCCUACUCCCCGUCACUUGGCUGAGGUUAUUGUGGAUGUGAUGGUACAUACUCUUGUGAAUUGUCUGCAGGCAUUUUAACGAUAUAUUGUAUUAAAAUAUUUUAGUAGGCACAGGUUCUUUACAAUAAAAUCCCUGUGUGCUGCUAGUUCAUGGCAUGAUAAUGUUAAAGUCUUAUAUAUAUUGUAUCUUUCGGCACAUGUUCACUGAGUAUUUGUACUCAGCCCUGCAUAUAUUUCUAAAUGUGCAGGUUGAGAGGGAAUGGAAAGCAGGUGUGUUGUGCAGCGGAGUUUUCUUUUUGCCAGAUUCUACAAAUGCUAUAAAAUAUGUAAAAGGCCUCAUAUAUGUACCUCUUUUGUUGAACAUGUCCGUCGCAUGUCUUUUGGGCUAUAAACUUAUUAUGUUUUGCUUAGCAAUUAAACCCAAAUAUAUUUUGGGAGAAUAGUUGUAUUUUAGUCUUGUUUCCGCUAGUGCCCAUGGGAUGUAAAUUAAUCUACUUAAAUUGUGUGAUAUCUAUCUUCAAGCUUAAUCCCUCAUCGAUGUUGUAAUAUAUUCCCAUGUUACCUUAGCUCGAGUUCUUGAGAAUAUCCAUCUUCAUUUCUAUU